rnacentral:lncRNA from 1 species
GCAUUAUGGGGUGGGUCCUCUCUACCUGAGCCGUAACUUUACGGCAGAUCCCGGAGUGGAGGAGGAGGAGGAGCUGAACUAACGGUAAUAAACUGUCGGCGUGGAACCAGUGAAAGGGACCGAAGGGUUCUUUAACGGUUUAACGCUGUUUCCCCGCAGGAUGGAGGCGGAGACAAGUCGCCGCCGCUAAGUGACUGUAAGUGAUUCACCUGAGCCUCAGAGGAAACGGCAACAUGUGGACAACUGCUACCGACGCCUCCACCUCGCUGACAACUGCUGGUCGUCGAGCGGUGACCGAUAAGAACCAAUCAGGACGUAGAACGUGGGGCGUCUGCGUCCCCAUCGUCAAAGACACAAACACACGAGACGAGUGCAGCUCCACCCAGUGGUGGGUACCCCAGUUCAUCAGAAUCGAUGUCCAACCUGGAGGACGGACGUCAGGAUGAGGUCAGAACCAACGACACACAGAGACAUGGACCACAUGUACACAUAUAUACAGGUUAACGUGAGUGUGUGUUUGUGUGAGUGUGUACAAUCAGACAUAUUUAGUGACAGAUGUGUGUGAGAUUUGGUUGAAUUGAUUGAAUUGAAGGACUGUUGCUGGUGGACGUUUGAGCAAUGUGCAAGUUUAUUCUGUUAAAUUGAAUUUCAUAUCAGCAAACAAACAAACGCUGAUUCUGAUGUUGCUGAAAGACUCGAACAGAGGAGGACCUAAGAGGGAGGAUGGAGGAGGACGGAGAAGAAGGAUAGAAGAGGGUGGAGGAGGACAGAAGAGGAUGGAGAAGAAGGACAGAAGAGU